GGGAAGUUAGCUCAGUUGGUAGAGCGUAUGCCUGAAGAGCAUAGCGUCAAUGGUUCGAUUCCAUUACUUCCCA
rnacentral:tRNA from 1 species